CACUGACAUUAGAUACCCGGGUAGUCCUAGCCGUAAACGAUACUCGCUAGGUGUCGGCCACGGUGCGACCGUUGUCGGUGCCGUAGGGAAGCCGUGAAGCGAGCCACCUGGGAAGUACGGCCGCAAGGCUGAAACCUAAAGGAAUUGGCGGGGAGCACCACAACGGGUGGAGCUUGCGGUUUAAUUGGAUUCAACGCCGGAAAUCUUACCGGGACCGACAGCAACAUGAAGGCCAGGCUGAAGACUUUGCCGGAUUAGCUG
rnacentral:rRNA from 1 species